CCUACGGGGGGCAGCAGUCGAGAAUCAUUCACAAUGGGGGAAACCCUGAUGGUGCGACGCCGCGUGGGGGAAUGAAGGUCUUCGGAUUGUAAACCCCUGUCAUGUGGGAGCAAAUUAAAAAGAUAGUACCACAAGAGGAAGAUACGUCUAACUCUGUGCCAGCAGCCGCGGUAAUACAGAGGUCUCAAGCGUUGUUCGGAAUCACUGGGCGUAAGGCGUGCGUAGGCUGUUUCGUAAGUCGGGUGUGAAAGGCGCGGGCUCAACCCGCGGACGGCACAUGAUACUGCGAGACUAGAGUAAUGGAGGGGGAACCGGAAUUCUCGGUGUAGCAGUGAAAUGCGUAGAUAUCGAGAGGAACACUCGUGGCGAAGGCGGGUUCCUGGACAUUAACUGACGCUGAGGCACGAAGGCCAGGGGAGCGAAAGGGAUUAGAUACCCUUGUAGUC
rnacentral:rRNA from 1 species